UCCCUGGUGGUCCAGUGAUUAAGACUCUGUGCUUCCAAUACAGAGGGUGCAGGUUCAAGCCCUGGUCUGGGAA
rnacentral:tRNA from 1 species